rnacentral:rRNA from 1 species
GACGAACGCUGGCGGCGUGCUUAACACAUGCAAGUCGAACGAAGAGCGAUGGAAGCUUGCUUCUAUCAAUCUUAGUGGCGAACGGGUGAGUAACGCGUAAUCAACCUGCCCUUCAGAGGGGGACAACAGUUGGAAACGACUGCUAAUACCGCAUACGAUCUAAUCUCGGCAUCGAGGAUAGAUGAAAGGUGGCCUCUACAUGUAAGCUAUCACUGAAGGAGGGGAUUGCGUCUGAUUAGCUAGUUGGAGGGGUAACGGCCCACCAAGGCGAUGAUCAGUAGCCGGUCUGAGAGGAUGAACGGCCACAUUGGGACUGAGGCACGGCCCAGACUCCUACGGGAGGCAGCAGUGGGGAAUCUUCCGCAAUGGACGAAAGUCUGACGGAGCAACGCCGCGUGAGUGAUGACGGCCUUCGGGUUGUAAAGCUCUGUUAAUCGGGACGAAAGGCCUU